UUGCACGUGAGAUUAUUAUGGUCUGUUUCUUAGGAGAAAAAUGCAUAAGAAGGCACUUGAGCAAAGAUGUCAAUUUGUUCUUUAAUUAAUCUAACUGCUGUCGAGGACAAACCUUUGAGAUUUUCUCAACAUGGUUGUAUUAAGGCAGUGGACAUUUCAAGAUAAUAAAAAUGGACAGAACUGGUAUUUUCCUGAUCAGAGGCACAUGAUACAACUAUAAGGCAGACUGGAGCCAGUUGUAACUAGACUGAGUAGAUGACUUUAUUCCAUGGAAACGGUAACGUACUGUCCUAUAAAUUCAGAAUGCGCACAUACCCACCCUUGAGCACACAUCACUCACAUGAGUGACCAAACCCGCUGCACAGAGGAAGAGGCAGGAAGUUCCUUCUUUCACUUCCAGUCAUGCUGCAUUGGGCAGCUUGUGGUGGAACAGAAGGUCUCUGCAUGGUGGGCAGUGUGGGCGGACUUCGGGAUUCACCGUGAAAAACAAUAACGAGCCAAGGACACUUCCCAAGCAGGGGUUCAAAGAUAUGCGCUCAUGGGGCUGAUAUAUACGGGGCACCUCUGAGGCUCGUCUGACUGGGCCUGCCACUUGUGUUUUGUGUAGACGGAGCGAAAGGGAACGAGGAGACAAGGAUCAUGUCCUCUCUUGGAGAAGUGCUAACUUGGGCAGGGAAAGGAAUUUUUUGUGGUUUAUUCAGAGAGCGGCUCCAUCUGUGUAAACUGGCGCUUGCCAGGAUGUCGACUCCCUCGCUUUCUGCACAGACACACGCUUAACCCCUUCAACACCUUCUGCUCACCAUAUCUGCUAGUCACAGUCACAAACAAUUACACAGCUAACAAGAUAAUCUUACUUAAUAUUGCAAAGUAAAAAUUACAUCUUGCAAAAGCAGAAUCAACCAAAAACAAGACAAACCCUUUUGAAAAAGAAGUACACUACAGUAUACUAUUGCUUAUUACAAAAGGAAUACACUUUAAAGUAAAAGUAAAACGUUUAAUUCGACAGGAUUACAAAAUACUUAAGUGUUCCAUGAAACAUCAUCAACAGUGUCUCUUUUUAAGUACACUUAAGUGGCCUUUUAUUUAAUUAACAUUAAAUUAUCUGCAAGUACAGUUCUGCAAGUUUUUGAAGCACACCACAAGUGCACAUGCUAUACAACUGUCAUGUUAACAAUACCAAUUUACCAUGUUAACAAUAGUUUCUGAUAAAACAUCAUAAUUACAACAGUUUAUGUUGCUACAAUAAAGCUAACUUGCUAUUAGCCCCCA
ensembl:lncRNA